GUUAAUUAGAUUUUAUGAGACGUUAAUCUAGUGGAUCCAAAUUAUUACGGUGUAGAUUGACUUAUGAAAAAAAACUCACGAGUCCUUCUCCCAUGACGUAACUCUCUCAAUGUCUCCACAAAAAAAUUCUCACAAUCUCUUACGUCUAUUUAUCUCUCCAACAAUAAAAAGAAAAAACUCACGAGUCCUUCUCCCAUGACGUAACUCUCUCAAUCUCUCCAUAAAAAAAUUCUGACAAUCUCUUCUAUUUAUCUCUCCAACGAUAAAAAAUAACUUAUCUCUCUCCCCAGACCCAAACUCUCACGCAUCUCUAAGAAGCAACCAACUCUCUCAUGUCUCAACUAGCUCUCAAAUAAACUUACACGGCUCUAAAAAUAUCUUUCACGUAUAUCUCUCAAGCUCUCCCGUCCAACACUCUCACGUAUAUAUCUCCCAUAAACCAACUCUCUUAUAUAUCAACUAGCUCUAUAAAUAUCUCAUGUAUCCCUCUCAAGCUUUCACGUCUAACUCAAAUCCCCACGUAAAAAACCUAAUAUUAAAGCAUUUUAUUUCUAUUAUGCACUGCUGUAAAAUUCAUGAUUGGAAUGGCUGAGAUUUUUUUAAAACUUCCCUUUUAACCAAGUGAUAGCGUUUGUUUAUUCAAUGACAAUGGAAAAAUAAGCCAUGUAGUCCAGACGAAAAUAGAAAUUUGUCACCUAAGACCAUCAUCGAUAUAUUAUGUCUAUAGUACCUACGAUGCAUCUUUUGAAUUUAUACAUAUUCCAACAUGUGAUUCAAGUGCAUGUAAUACAUCGAUUAUAUGUAAGGAUCUUUGCUAUUUGACAAAAGCUCUUUCAAUGUUGUUGCUUUCUUCAAAAUCUAAACCUAUCAAGUUGUGUCACUUCUUUUAAUUCCAACUUAUUGGUGGUAUCGUUGCUUGGUUUUCAACUGAAAAUAUUCCAUACGAAGUGUCGAGCAUAUCAAAUAUCUAAAAAUAUUCUUUUUAUUAUUUUCACUAGAGUUAGUUAAUUUAUAGGAGAAACAUUUUCUAUUAUUGAGUAAAACAUAUAAUUAACUUAUCACAAGCAAUACAAUAUUGUCAGAGAGGAUUGUAGUUGGUAAGAAUGCUAAUAUUGUGUGAUAGUACACGUAUAAAAGUCCAUGAAUAUACAUAAACGGAGUAGACCUAAGCAAGUAAGAAAUAUAUUAGGCUACUGUCGGCAUACUUUGAAAAUGCAAUAUAUAUUUUUUGAAACUUCCCCAUAUAUAUAAAGGAUAGUGAAAUCAUAUGAAGAAUUAAUAUCAAAUUAACC
rnacentral:lncRNA from 1 species